GACAGAGGCCUCAAGCGUUAGGCGGAAUCACUGGGCUUAAAGCGUGUGUAGGCGGAUCGUUAAGUGUCUUGUGAAAUCCCACGGGCUCACCCGUCGGAACGGCUGGGCAUACUGGCGAUCUUGGGCCAACUAGGGGCAACUGGAACAAGCGGUGGAGCGGUGAAAUGCGUAGAUAUCGCUUGGAACGCCGAAGGUGAAAACAGGUUGCUGGGGUUGUGCCGACGCUGAGACACGAAAGCCAGGGGAGCAAACGGG
rnacentral:rRNA from 1 species